rnacentral:rRNA from 1 species
AAUCUCAGUUCAGACUGCAGGCUGCAACUCGCCUGCACGAAGUCGGAAUUGCUAGUAAUCGUAGGUCAGCAUACUACGGUGAAUACGUUCCCGGGCCUUGUACACACCGCCCGUCAAACCAUGAGAGUUGGCAACACCCGAAGUCGGUAGUCUAACCGCAAGGAGGACGCCGCCGAGGGUGGGGUUGAUGAUUAGGGUUAAGUCGUAACAAGGUAUC